AGCGAACGCUGGCGGCAGGCUUAACACAUGCAAGUCGAGCGGACCUUUCGGGGUCAGCGGCGGACGGGUGAGUAACGCGUGGGAACGUGCCUUCCGGUUCGGAAUAACCCUGGGAAACUAGGGCUAAUACCGGAUACGCCCUUAUGGGGAAAGGUUUACUGCCGGAAGAUCGGCCCGCGUCUGAUUAGCUAGUUGGUGGGGUAACGGCCUACCAAGGCGACGAUCAGUAGCUGGUCUGAGAGGAUGAUCAGCCACACUGGGACUGAGACACGGCCCAGACUCCUACGGGAGGCAGCAGUGGGGAAUAUUGGACAAUGGGCGCAAGCCUGAUCCAGCCAUGCCGCGUGAGUGAUGAAGGCCUUAGGGUUGUAAAGCUCUUUUAGCCGGGACGAUAAUGACGGUACCGGAGGAAUAAGCCCCGGCUAACUUCGU
rnacentral:rRNA from 1 species